GUGAAAGCGGCAUAAUGAAGCCCAUUCAUAUUCUAACUGAAAAAUUAAACAGGAAAGAAUAUUUAACAAAAAGAUCUGAAACUCUGAAGCCACUAAAGAAUAAUAGAAGAAUAUUAUUUCAAGAUGCAGGCACAGGCAGCACAGGUUCGCAGCCUAUGGCUUGGCGCCACUCAUACUCACGCGAGUCUUCCCUCCUCAGUGAAGCCGCUGUGAAGAUUCUCUCCAAGAGGCCAAGAGCCGUAUCUCCUAGGUGAUCCCAAAGUCAAUUCAGUCAGCUAUCAAGAUUAAUAAUCUUUAGCCACCAAAGAAAUGCAAAUCAGAAUUGCUUUACAAUAAACUUUAUGUAUAAUGUUUA